UACGUAGGGUGCAAGCGUUGUCCGGAAUUAUUGGGCGUAAAGAGCUUGUAGGCGGUUUGUCGCGUCUGCUGUGAAAUUUCGGGGCUCAACCCCGAACUUGCAGUGGGUACGGGCAGACUAGAGUGUGGUAGGGGAGACUGGAAUUCCUGGUGUAGCGGUGAAAUGCGUAGAUAUCGAGAGGAACACCUGCGGCGAAGGCGGGUUGCUGGGCUGACACUGACGCUGAAGCGCGAAAGCCAGGGGAGCAAACGGG
rnacentral:rRNA from 1 species